CCAGCAGCCGCGGUAAUUCCAGCUCCAAUAGCGUAUAUUAAAGUUGUUGCAGUUAAAAAGCUCGUAGUUGGAUGUUGGGUUCUAGUUAUGAUCGGUCUCUUCUAGAGUACUGUCAUGCUGGCCCUUUUUCUCGAGGCCUAUAGGUGCACUUUACCGUGUGUUUAUAGUGUUCGGGACUUUUACCGUGAGAAAAUUAGAGUGUUCAUAGCAGGCUAGUGCUUGAAUAUUACAGCAUGGAAUAAUGGAAUAGGAUCAUGAUCUUAUUUUGUUGGUUUCUAAGAUUAAGAUAAUGAUUAAUAGGGAUAGUUGGGGGCAUUAAUAUUUAGUUGUCAGAGGUGAAAUUCUUAGAUUUACAAAAGAUUAACUUCUGCG
rnacentral:rRNA from 1 species